rnacentral:lncRNA from 1 species
GUGAAAAACUGAGAGGGGAAAAGAUGGGGAGGGGGAGGGGCAUGAAAAAAAUUGUCAACUAACGUUGCCAUUUCAAAGACGGCCUUUCCCAUAUACCAUAUUGUUGACGAUAGAACGCGUUUAUGUACAGAAUGGCCCACGAACCCAAUUUCCGAGCGGCACGCCUACCGGCCGAACAUCGGAGUGACCCGCCCGUGCGCAGCUUGAUCUGCCUACCACGCGUCGGCCUCGGUCAUCAUCUCACUGGCCUCGCCUUUCAUCUCUACCACCUGGAAAGCCGGCGUGGCCGACGGAGCAUAGACGACUGACUGUUCAGGGAACUGAAGCAGUGGACAGCUUGCUGUGAAAGAUGGGAGCAUUCUUCCUCUGGUCUGGACAAGCCCAUAUUAAGUGGGAGAUGUUCAAUAUCAACCCGAUGCGAGGCAGCAAAUGUGGAAAUGGACGCAAGUCAAGGACAGCUGCAGACAGCAAGAUAAUGAAACUGAUACAGCGAUUGCACUGAAUCACUGAAGAUAUGAGCCGGAAUGCGAACAGUAUACUCGUACAGUUUGGCAGAAUAAACC